rnacentral:tRNA from 1 species
GCGCUCGUAGCUCAGCCGGAUAGAGCGGCGGUUUCCUAAACCGUAGGUCGUGGGUUCGAAUCCCGCCGAGCGCACCA